rnacentral:rRNA from 1 species
UGGGGAAUUGUUCGCAAUGGGCGCAAGCCUGACGACGCAACGCCGCGUGGAGGAUGAAGAAUUUCGGUUCGUAAACUCCUGUCGAGCGGGACGAAAGAUGCGCGGGUUAAUACCCCGCGCAAGUGACGGUACCGCCAACGGAAGCCCCGACUAACUCCGUGCCAGCAGCCGCGGUAAAACGUAGGACGCAAGCGUUAUCCGGAGUUACUGGGCGUAAAGCGCGGGCAGGCGGUUCUUCAAGUCUGAUGUGAAAUCUCCUCGCUCAACGGGGAGCAGCCAUUGGAAACUAGAGAACUGGAGUCUGACAGAGGUAGGCGGAAUUCCGGGUGGAGUGGUGAAAUGCGUAGAGAUCCGGAGGAACACCAGAGGCGAAGGCGGCCUACUGGGUCAGUACUGACGCUGAGCCGCGAAAGCUAGGGGAGCGAA